rnacentral:rRNA from 1 species
UACGUAUGGUGCAAGCGUUAAUCGGAAUUACUGGGCGUAAAGCGUGCGCAGGCGGUUUUGUAAGUCUGUCGUGAAAUCCCCGGGCUCAACCUGGGAAUUGCGAUGGAGACUGCAAGGCUAGAAUCUGGCAGAGGGGGGUAGAAUUCCACGUGUAGCAGUGAAAUGCGUAGAGAUGUGGAGGAACACCGAUGGCGAAGGCAGCCCCCUGGGUCAAGAUUGACGCUCAUGCACGAAAGCGUGGGGAGCAAACAGG